CCCUUAGAUGUCCUGGGCUGCACGCGCGCUACACUGAUGUGUCCAGUAAGCACCUAACCUCUUCCGAAAGGAACGGGUAACCUUUGCAAAGCACAUCGUGAUGGGGAUAGAUUAUUGCAAUUAUUAGUCUUGAACGAGGAAUUCCUAGUAAGCACAAGUCAUCAGCUUGUGUUGAUUACGUCCCUGCCCUUUGUACACACCGCCCGUCGCUCCUACCGAUUGAAUGUUCCGGUGAGCUCUUCGGACUGCGCGGUCUGCAGUUUCUGCGUUCCGUGCGGAAAGUUGCGCAAACCUUAACAUUUAGAGGAAGGAGAGGUCGUAACA
rnacentral:rRNA from 1 species